GAUGAACGCUGGCGGCGUGCCUAAUACAUGCAAGUCGAGCGAACAGACGAGGAGCUUGCUCCUCUGACGUUAGCGGCGGACGGGUGAGUAACACGUGGAUAACCUACUUAUCAGACUGGGAUAACUUCGGGAAACCGGCGCUAAUACCGGAUAAUAUAUUGAACCGCAUGGUUCAAUAGUGAAAGACGGUUUUGCUGUCACUUCUAGCUGGAUCUGCGCCGCAUUAGCUAGUUGGUAAGGUAACGGGUUAUCAAGGCAACGAUGCGUAGCCGACCUGAUAGGGUGAUCGGCCACACUGGAGCUGGGCCACGGUCCAGACUCCUACGGUAGGCAGCAGUAGGGAACCUUCCGCAAUGGGCGAAAGCAUGACGGAGCAACGCCGCGUGAGUGAUGAAGGUCUUCGGUUCGUAAAACUCUGUUAUUAGUGAUGAACAAAUGUGUAAGUAGCUGUGCACGUCUUGACGGUACCUGAUCAGAAAGCAACGGCUAACUACGUG
rnacentral:rRNA from 1 species